rnacentral:rRNA from 1 species
GGCGAACGGGUGAGUAAUGCGUAGGAAUCUACCUAUCUGUGGGGGGCAACCAAGGGAAACUUUGGCUAAUACCGCAUAAUGUCUAUGGACCAAAGCUGGGGACCGCAAGGCCUGGCGCUGAUAGAUGAGCCUACGUCAGAUUAGCUAGUUGGUGGGGUAAAGGCCUACCAAGGCAACGAUCUGUAGCUGGUCUGAGAGGACGAACAGCCACACUGGGACUGAGACACGGCCCAGACUCCUACGGGGGGCAGCAGUGGGGAAUAUUGGACAAUGGGGGAAACCCUGAUCCAGCAAUGCCGCGUGUGUGAAGAAGGCCUUCGGGUUGUAAAGCACUUUCAGUAGCGAAGAAGAUUAUAUUAUUAAUACCAUUAUAGUUUGACGUUAACUACAGAAGAAGCACCGG